rnacentral:rRNA from 1 species
CCCUUAGAUGUUCUGGGCUGCACGCGCGCUACACUGAUGCGCUCAACGAGUUUACGACCUUGCCCGGAAGGGUUGGGUAAUCUUUUUAAAACGCAUCGUGAUGGGGAUAGAUUAUUGCAAUUAUUAAUCUUUAACGAGGAAUUCCUAGUAAGCGCGAGUCAUCAGCUCGUGCUGAUUACGUCCCUGCCCUUUGUACACACCGCCCGUCGCACCUACCGAUUGAAUGACUCGGUGAAAUAUCGGGACCGUUGUCUGGUUUGAUUCAUUUCGAACUAGAUAGUGGGAACUUUCUUUAACCUAUUUAUUUAGAGGAAGGUGAAGUCGUAACA